UCCUAAAAACAUAAAGUUUUGGUCCUAAACUUGCCAUUGUUUUUAAUAAGAUUUACACAUGCAAGCUUCAACACACCAGUGAGAAUGCCCACAAAACCUAAACAGAGAACAGGAGCUGGUAUCAGGAACACCAACCAUAGUUGCCUAUAACGCCUUGCUACGCCACACCCACAAGGGCCUUCAGCAGUGAAAAAUAUUAAGAAAUAAGCGAAAGCUUGACUUAGUUAUUAUUAAUUAGGUCGGUAAAUUUCGUGCCAGCCACCGCGGUUAUACGAAAGACCAAAAACAAUGACCUACGGCGUAAAGAGUGACAAAGGCAAUCAUAUACUUAAAGAAAAACUGCAGCAAAGUUGUAAAACACUACCGACUACAGGAACAACAACAAAAACAUGUCUUUAAUAUACCCUCCUCACGAAAGCUAAGAAACAAACUGGGAUUAGAUACCCCACUAUGCUUAGUCAUAAACAAAGACAGUGUAAUCACAACACCGUUCGCCAGAGAACUACAAGCACUAAACUCAAAACUCCAAGGACUUGGCGGUGCUCCAAUCAACCUAGAGGAGCCUGUCCUAUAAUCGAUACCCCCCGAUCUACCUCACCAGCCUUUGUAGCUCAGCCUAUAUACCGCCGUCGUCAGCCUACCUUAUGAGAGAACUAAAGUAAGCAUAAUAGUUAUUAACUAGAACGUCAGGUCAAGGUGUAGCAUAUAGACUGGAAGAGAUGGGCUACACUCUCUAAAUUAGAGAAUACGAAUAGCAUAAUGAAACACUGCUUAAAGGCGGAUUUAGUAGUAAGACAAACAAGAGAGUCUGUCUUAAAUAAGCCCUGGAGCGCGCACACACCGCCCGUCACCCUCAUCG
rnacentral:ncRNA from 1 species